CUUGCCAAAACAACAUUAAAGAUGACUCGGACUGGCUGAAGGUCAACUUGGGUCCCUUUGCUGACAAAGUUGAUUACUCUGAGCUGAAAGAAUUGAACAUCACCGGGGUAGGAGCCGCUCCAACAUUCGCUCGUUCUCAAAAACUGUACAAAAUGAAGAGUUACAAGUGACUUUUGUUGCCAUGUCUCUCAUUUAGAAUGUCAAAGUCGUAUGAGGCCAAUGUCUGUGUCUGUUUUGUUACUUGUCUCUUCAGCUGGCAGUUUUGGGCUCACUCUCUCCAGAACAGAAAGUCAAUCUGCUGUUGGAUUCCACAACUGGUGCUCUUGAAAAUGUAUCUGUUGUCACAGAGGUCUUCAGCAGUAUUCUUCAAUCUCCAGAACAGAUGGACAAAUUCUUCGAGUACUUUGUUCAAGCCACUAACGGGGCAAACAUUACCACCAUAUACAACACAGCUGUCAGAGACACCAUGCUCAACCUGACUCUGACUGCCCUUGCUCCACGAUUCGCCACCUUCGAAACCAGUGACUUUGAGCUGUGGUUCCAAGUGAAUCUAUUUGUUCUGCUUGCCAGUCUUCAGCCUGCCAGUCUCUCAGUCAUACCAGUGAACAUCAGCUGUGACUCCUUCACUGCCAUAAUCAAGGGCCUUGAUAAGGUUUUGGCCAUACUUCCAGAAGAAGGCCUUGUGUCUUGCAGACAUGACCUUGUGCAAGAGUUACCUAGUGGUACGUAAAAGCACUGUAAUUGAUAAGAAUGCUUGUUUGUUGUGCUGGUAUAACUGGACUGUGCGCUCUGUGGUACACCUGUCUUCCAACUGACCGAUUUUCUUGUUUGUGUAUUGAUCUCACAGGCUGCAUGGCACCAAUUGAUAUUGGCUCUCUGGAAGGCAAGAGUCCAACAGAAGUGGCUGACUUGACGCUGAACUCUGGAGCACUGAAUGACACCAACCAGAUUGAGGCGGUCUUCCAAUUCCUCGAGAACGGAGAUGCCUUCCAGAAUGUAGAUGAGUUUCUAACAGCGGUGACAAACUCUCCUCAGCAUCCUGCAAUCUCCACUGCUGUCAGAGACAUUGUGAUGAACCUGACCUUCAACAUCAUCAGCACCCACUUCCCAACAUUUGACACAGCUGAUUGGGAGGCUUGGUUCAAGGUGAAACUCGUCCUUGUCCUCCCUAGUUUCACUGGCGAGAUGCUCACCACAACAAUCUCAAACAUCGGCUGCACCAACUACCAAGUGGUCGUUGAGGGAAUUGGAAGUGUUUUCGGCAACAUGGAUUCUGAGAAAACACUGGAAAUUGCCAAAAUCCUUGUGAGUCAUCUGACAGAGUUUCUCAGCCAAUUCAAGUCUCCAGCUUGCCAAAACAACAUUAAAGAUGACUCGGACUGGCUGAAGGUCAACUUGGGUCCCUUUGCUGACAAAGUUGAUUACUCUGAGCUGAAAGAAUUGAACAUCACCGGGGUAGGAGCCGCUCCAACAUUCGCUCGUUCUCAAAAACUGUACAAAAUGAAGAGUUACAAGUGACUUUU
rnacentral:lncRNA from 1 species